rnacentral:lncRNA from 1 species
GGAAGGAAUAAGGUCAGCCUGGGAUCUUAUACAGCUGAGGAGCAAGGAGAAAGUGACAAUGGACUCUGUGAGGACCCCUUCCAAUGAACUCCUACAAAAGAAAGCCCACUGGACCUCCUCCUAGCUUGCGUCUGACAAGAUGCUGCUCACCCUGAAGCAGGUGCCAGGCUGUACCCUCUGCAUCACGCACGUCCACUUUGUCCUUCAGAACAUCCCCUCCUACUGUCUGUCCAGCGAUGCGCUUGCCUUUGGCACAUGAAGGGAUGGAGGCUUGAGUUGGUUCUGAGACUCACACAGACUCCUGGAGUUGGG